UCCCCGUUGCCGGGGCAGUCUGAAUAGAAAAAUACAACUAUUCACAAGGGUUGCGCUCGUUGAUGGACUUAACCAAACAUCUCACGACACGAGCUGACGACGGCCAUGCAAGAUCUGUCACCAAGUUCAAUAAAGCACUCAAUCCUUUCGGAUUAAUUCUUGGGAUGUCAAGCCCUGGUAAGGUUCUUCGUUUAUCAUCGAAUUAAAGAACACAAUCCACCGCUUGUGCGGGUCCCCGUCAAUUCCUUUAUGUUUUAGUCUUGCGACCGUACUCCACAGGCGGGAUACUUAACGCGUUAGCUUCGCUACUGGGGGGGUCGAUACCCCCAACAGCUAGUAUCCAUAGUUUACGGCGUGGACUAC
rnacentral:misc_RNA from 1 species